UUUGUCUUUUAAUUGUGGACUGGAAUGAAAGGUUAGACUAAAUAUUUUUGUCUUAUGCUGAAAUGUUGAAAUUUAUAAUUUAGUAAAAAAGCUAAAAUUUCUCUUAAAGACGAGAAGACCCUAUCAAGCUUUACAAUUUUAUUUUAAUAUCAAAUUAUGAAAAUAAUUGUUUAACUGGGGCAGUGAACAAGAUAAAUCUUGUUUAAUAAUUGUGAUUUAUCAAUCUUGAAAAAUCAAUAAAUUUUUAAACAAAAACAAGUUACUGUAGGGAUAACAGCAUAAUUUUUUUAAAGAGUUCUCAUCAUCAAAAAAUUUUGUGACCUCGAUGUUGGAUUAAGAGGCCUCUUCCGCGCAAUAGCGGGAAAAGGAAGUCUGUUCGACUUUUAAUUUCUUCCA
rnacentral:rRNA from 1 species